ACUGUCAGCAGUCGAGGCAAGGGCAGUUUCUUGCCCAGUAGGAAGUUUUGCCAAGAGGAAAACAAACUCCAUAUAGAAUGUCUUUGAUGCCUAUCAUUCUCUCCAGAGUAGAUCAGUGCUGCCAGGAGCAGAUGUGUCUCACGUCAAAAGAAUUCUAAGUUAGUAAAACAUUAUAAAUGCCAUAUUCUGUACAUCUUUGAAAUGUUUGAAGAUCACCUAUCUAUUUGGAACAUAUCUCUGCACACCCAGAAAACCUAACUAACAUGAUGAUAAGUUUGACAAACAUGGGUGACUAUUAACCUGUAAUUCUUAUCAAUCUGUAUACCUUAAGGACUAAAGCUUCAUAUAUAAAAAUAAACAAGCUGUAGAGGUCAUACCUUGUGCAAUAUAGAAACAGAUGUACAGUAUAAGGACAACAACCUUGAAAUUGUGACAAUAUACAAAAAAUCUUAACCAGAGGUAGGAAUGUAAAAUGCAAUAUGACAAAAAUAACCUUAAUUUGCAUCAACAUACAAAAAUAUCCCAAACAGAAGUAGCAACAUAUAAACAGCAUGACAAAAAUAAUUUUAAAGCGGCUGCUGGGUGUUUAGAAGUUGCUGGUGGGACAGAAACUUCUGCCCUACACACACACACUGUUUGUUUGGUCAUGGUUCUGAGGCUGGAAAAUUCAAGAACACAAUGCUGGUGUCUGCUUUGAAUCUGCCUUCUUCCUGUAGCAUAAGAUGGCGGAGGGCACCAGAUGGAGAGACAGAAUGAGUGUGUCCUCCUCUUGUGAAGCACUAAGCUACUGUUGUCGUCAGGGAGGCCCUGAUUUCAUGAUAUCAUCUAAUCCUAAUUGUCUCCCAAAUAGUCUUCAGUACCACGAACCCAUGAGUUUGAGGGUUGAGUUUCUAACGCAUGCCUUUAGGGGAUAUGUUUAAGCAAUGGGGACGUGGGAAGCAGAGGACUGUGGCCUGAGGACCCCACCCUUUGGAGCAGCAUCCUAAGGGGAAUGGGACAGGGCGCGUGUUGAGCGUGGUGCAGAAGACGCAGCAAAGUCCUGAGUGCUGCUGUUGUCCUGCCAGGCCUGAGCAUGGCACUACAUGUUCCUGGGUGUGUAUGACCAUGGCUCUGGAUACUGGACACUUGAGGAUCUGAGGUUCCUUAUGCUGGGGGAAGUUUUGUUUCCCACUGACAGGUUCCGCAUGGGUACCCCAGGGCACUCUCCCAGGGUGAGGCUGUGCAAGGAGCACAUGGUGCCAACCUGGGAGUGUGUGUGUGGGAAAGCCUGGCUUCUCUAUUCUCUUAAGAAAGUUUAGAUUCAUUGCCUAUGAGAGUAUUCAUGUGGAAGUCUGGAUUUCAGAGCCCUCUGUUGGGUGGAGCCAGAGCUCCAUGGCCUCGGCGAUCAGAGCUCUUCAGUUUGUGGUUUCCGUCACUCCCACUGUGUCUGCUCUCGCCAUCUUCUUUCAUUUUGCUGAUCUGCUUAGGGCAGAGCAAGGAUGGAGUUUUGGUGCCUACACCCCAGCGCUUCCUCUCUCCUUUGGGUCACUUGCCUGGAUUUAGCAACAGGGAACUUCAGUGGGUGGGGCAUGGACCUGGAUUCAAGGGAGCUUUACCUCUUCCAGCUACAAGAGAGAUUUUAAGCAACUUGGUUGUGUCUCAGUUUCCAUAAAUCAUGAUCUAGGGUGAGUGUGAGGAUUCAGUAAAAGGGUGUGGGCAAAGGGGAUGGGGCCUCUGCAGCCAACUUAGGAGCCCUUAAUGUUUGCUCUUUAUUAUUACUGAUAUGGUUUAUGAACCAACAGACAUACAGGUAGUGAGUACACAGCUCAUGGGUUUUUGGUAUGUGUAUCUGCAGGGUACCGGACCCCUAAACAUGUCUGCUCUGGUUUCUUUGUACCCCCUAGUCAUCAGCUUGAUGGCAUUAGAAGUAAGGUCUUUGGGAAGUGAUUAAUCAUGAAAGCUGAACCUCAUCAGUGGGAUUAGUGCCCUUAUAAAGGAUUCCCCAAGACCUGCCCUGCCUCUUCCACCCACCAUAAUAGGACACAGCCAGAUGGGGCCAGACACAUCCCAGAAAGCAGGCCCUCCUUCAGAAGCCAUUGGAUUUGCCUGGGAUUCACCUUGGGCUGCCCAACCUCCAUGCUGAGAAAUUAAUUUCUGUCAUUUGUAAACUACCCACUUUAUUAUUUUCUUACAGUCCAACUGGACUAAGCCAAUAUCUCCCAGGAACAUAUUCCAAAUAUUACCUGGCAUGGCAGAAGGGGCCUUGAAGGUGUGGAUGCUUCCUGGACUCCCUGGGUGCUCUAGUGUAAUGUCAAGGGUUCUCAUAAGUGAAGGAGACAGGCAGGAUAAUCAGACGUGGCAUUUUGAAGCUGUAGUGCUGCCGCCUGUGGAGUUGGAGGCCAGCUGAGCCGAGGAAUGCAGAUGUCCUUGGGAGUCUGAAAAAGGCAUGGGAUGGAUUCUUCCCUGGCUCCUCCAGAAGGAACCAGCCCUGCCCUCUUACACCUUGAAUGUGGCCAUUAGCCCCAUUUCAGAUGCCUGACCUCCAGAACCGUAACGGAAUGAAGGCAUUUUGUGUUAAGCCACUAAAUGCUAAUAACUUGUUACCAUAGCAACAAGAAGCAUGUUUUAAGCACCACAUCAGGCAAAACAGAGGAUGAAUUUUCUUUUCUUUUUUUUUUUUUUAAAUGUAGUCCAGGCUGGCCUUGAACUUGCUAUAUA